GAUUCUUAACUGACUUGCAAUUUGGAAUUUGGAUGGAGGGAGUAAAAACGAAAGUGAAAAAUUUUCAGAACAAGGCCCAAAUACCCCUACCCUUCCGCGGAACCCCACCUCGACCCGGCCCGGCUAUCCGCAGCCCACAAGCUCUCGCGCGGCUCUAGAAGGACAGAUCCGUCUACUCCACUCCGCCCACCCGGCCGCGCCUUCUCCCCCUUUCCGCCUUUCGGGAACGAACCGCCAUGCCUGGCCUCGCCUUGGACCUCAACCUGGACCUCGACCUGCAGGUCGCGUGCAGGCGCCUCAGCUACCGUGGCGCCUACUCCCCCUCGUCCCCGAAGAGCCCGCCUCUCCCGACGAUCCAUGAGAGCCCCGAGGAGGAACCGACGCCUCCUCCGACAUCUCCGCGGACGACCGGGGCGCUGUACCCGGCGCCGGGAGAGACGCCGACGCCGACGGUCGGUGCGCCCGUGGCGACCUCGCUUUGCCUUGCGCUUCCCGGGCAGUCGCAGUCUCUGCAAGCGCAGGAUGUUGGAGCAGCGGCGACGAGGAUGUUGGAACAGCAGCGUAAGCCGCGUAACCGCGUGUCGUUUGCGGAGUAUCAGCGGCCGGCGCCGGGAGAGAUGCCGACGCCGACAGUCGUUGCGCCCGUGGCCACCUGGCUUGCCCUCGCUCCUCCCGCGCUGUCUCAAUCUCAGCAAGCGCAGGAGGCGGCAGCGGCGACGAGGAUGUUGGAGCAGCGGCACGAGGAAGAGAGCUCGGCAUUUCCGGAGUAUCAGCGGCCGACGCCGGGAGAGACGCUGGCGGCGACAGUCGGUGUGCCCGUGGCGACUUGGCUUGCCUUUGCGUCUCCCGCGCAGUUGCAAUCUCAGCAAGCGCAGGAGGUGGCAGCGGCGACGAGGAUGUUGGAGCAGCGGCGUCAUGAGGAAGAGCGGGCGUCGUUUGCGGAGUAUCAGCAGCAACGCCAGCAUGCGUUGGCCGCGGAGGCGGGGUUGCAGCAAGCCUUAGCGGCGCAACAGGAGUCGCAGCAGCUGAUGCUGUACACGCUGGACGGGCGUGCCGCCAGCUACGAGACCAAGUGGGACGACCUCCACCCAGUCUCCCAGGGGCUGCUUCUUCAAAUCGAGGACAUAAUUAGGGAGCAUAGGGAUGAUAGUGAGCAGUUGGAUCAAUACAGAUGCUUUGAUGACCUAUCACUGUGCAACAUGAGUUUUGAACUUGAUGCUAAUCAGAUUACUCAGGAGGCUGUAUCUGUCUCUACCAUCAUGAAUAGAGAUAAGAAUUCCAUUGACAGCUUAAUGACUGUUAUCAAAGAAAUUAUGUGGAACGCAGAAUUUGCUAUAAGUUCAUAUGCAAAGUUGAGGCCAAGGUUUGUCUAUCUAAGUGCUGAAGGUGCAAACUCUGUUUUUUCAAAUCACUCUGGAUCUUCUGGUGCUGAAAGUGCAAACUCUGGUUUUUCAAAUCACUCUGGAUCUUCUGGUGCUCAGUCUGAUUUCCAUCAGCUCUUAACCAUGUCACCAAGGUUUCACUGUUAUAGUAGUGCUACCAGGCGGCCUUCUCCUUUUAUGCAACAAACAGUUGUCAGGUUUGAGGAUGAUCUUGGCAAAUGCUGCAAAUUCAUUCUAGAACUAGAGCAACUUGUCCAAAUGAAGGAUGACAAGACCUUUGCAGAAUCUUUGGAAUCUCUGUCAAAUGUUAUGUCGAAUGUCCAUGACUAUCUAAUCCAUGUGGCGUCUAAGGUGGAACAUUUUCAUCAGUAUGUUGAAACAAUGGAAACUCAGUAUCUGAAUUAUCAACAGCGCAGGGGUCAUUUGAGUAAUUCUUUUCGCAAGGCAAAUAGAAGAGAGGCAGCUAAACAAGAAGCAACUGACAGAAUAGUCCAUCCGAUGUUGCAUCUAACACCUCCAGGCCAGCCAACAACGCUGGUCGCUGCGCCAAUGAUAGCAAGCCAACUACAGCAAACUUCAUUCCCUACUGUGGCUGCUUCCCCAAUCUCUUAUCCAACUGUUCCACUGCCUUCUGUUUUGCCUCCAUCCAGCACACAAACAAGUCCUGCUCCAUCAAUCAACCCUUUCAGUUCAUCUGGGGUCGUGUUGCAAUCCAUACCAUUUGAUUCAUUCUCCACACUUGCACCAGGAUCCAUGCCGGCAACAUCUUUGUUCGGGACUGGUAUCCCAUCUACUGCUACUUCACUUUUCCUAGUACCAUCUGGAGGUAUACGUCACAUGCUAUGCGCAACUGGAUAGAAUGAAACAAUUUGGCCUCUUGAAUUAGACAUUACCAUUCGUUUACUUGAACUAAAAUAGGGACUUUCAACCAGCAGCAUAACGAAGUUAGUAAAUAUUGUCAUUAUUUGAAUUCGAUCAGACCUGUAUGUUGUUUGGCACAUAUCUGAGUCGCUUGCAGUGAAAAUGGUCAAAGGAGAAUGCAUCGACACUUCAUUUUAUCUUGUUGCUUGCGCUUGUGGUGGAACAGCACCUUCUGGCAUCAAUUGCGUACCUUCUAUGUUCGGAGGUCAUGCCUGUCCACUGUACAGUGUACCCCUCUCAUAGCUCGUGGGCGGCCACCACGUGAGACAAUCUGUGACCUGGAUUGCGGAUGGGGAAGCUGCGAGGAAGCAUCGGCCCACAAGUCGGCAACUAACCGACCACCUGGGGCUGGUCAAUGCUAGCCUUGCUUUGCUUUGAGGUGUAGAGAAGUGUCGUCAUCGUCACUGCAACGCGUAAAACCUAGUGGAUUGUAUGUGUAAUGUGCUUCAGCCAGGGUCGUUAUUUCUACCAAGUGGAACCAGAACAGGGUCUUUUCCGAUGGUGGGAUUGGAUGCUCUGAAUUCUGCUCAUGCUCUCCCGUUUCACGAUUGCCGGGAGCUGUAGUUUUAUGAAACAUUCCUUCGCCUUUUUUUAGAGAAACCACAGUUUCAUUAAUCGUACAACCCA